rnacentral:rRNA from 1 species
AACGCGGGCGGCGUGCUUAACACAUGCAAGUCGAACGCGAAAGGGACUUCGGUCCUGAGUAAAGUGGCGCACGGGUGAGUAACGCGUGGAUAAUCUACCCAAUGGUCUGGGAUAACAUUUCGAAAGGGGUGCUAAUACCGGAUAAGACCACGGAGUCUUUGGACUCUGCGGUAAAAGGUGGGGACCUUCGGGCCUACCGCAAUUGGAUGAGUCCGCGUACCAUUAGCUAGUUGGUAGGGUAAAGGCCUACCAAGGCGACGAUGGUUAGCUGGUCUGAGAGGAUGAUCAGCCACACUGGAACUGAGACACGGUCCAGACUCCUACGGGAGGCAGCAGUGGGGAAUUUUGCGCAAUGGGGGAAACCCUGACGCAGCAACGCCGCGUGAGUGAUGAAGGCCUUCGGGUCGUAAAGCUCUGUCAGAGGGGAAGAAAUGCGGGGUGCUAAUAUCACUUCCGCUUGACGGUACCCUCAAAGGAAGCACCGGCUAACUCCGUGCCAGCAGCCGCGGUAAUACGGAGGGUGCGAGCGUUGUUCGGAAUUAUUGGGCGUAAAGCGCGUGUAGGCGGUUUGUUAAGUCUGAUGUGAAAGCCCCGGGCUCAACCUGGGAAGUGCAUUGGAAACUGGCAGACUUGAAUACGGGAGAGGGCAGUGGAAUUCCUAGUGUAGGAGUGAAAUCCGUAGAUAUUAGGAGGAACACCGGUGGCGAAGGCGGCUGCCUGGACCGAUAUUGACGCUGAGACGCGAAAGCGUGGGGAGCAAACAGGAUUAGAUACCCUGGUAGUCCACGCCGUAAACGAUGAGUACUAGGUGUUGCGGGUAUUGACCCCUGCAGUGCCGCAGCUAACGCAUUAAGUACUCCGCCUGGGGAGUAC